rnacentral:lncRNA from 1 species
ACAAUGCCUAUUCGCAGCUCGCUGCAGCGGAGUCAUCUACUGCUGCUGGCAGGAUUUUCAUUGCGACGGGUUGUUAUGUGCAUUUCAGGACAUACCCCGUGGGUUGUCCCUGAUUCAGUUACAUUUAAUAAACGAGCGGUGGAUUAACCGGAAUUACAGUUUGACAGAAAACACGUUUUCUUCUCGACAACACCCUGCGUGUAGGAAGAGCCUUUAAUAUGGUUGAUACACAAUAUUUAAUCGAUCCAGAAACACAUUUCUUGUGACAGGCUUUUAAAUAUCAGAAUAAAUCCUAAGAGUGAACAGUUGAAGUUACUUAUCCAAUGUUACACUGCUAGGCCUAUAAAUAAACUUGCGGGGUCUAUUUUCUCCCAUUUGAAUAUGCUUUGAUUUCCAUAUGACAGUUCUGCCGAAAUGUUUUGACAUUUUAGAUCUUAGUAGAACUCCAUUACAACACGACUAUUUAUUACGUUGAUUCUGAUCUGACGUGUAAUAAAUCAUGUCCCCAAACCAAAACUCCAUACAUUAAUAUCCUGAUAUUUAACACACUUUAUCCAACUAUUGAUUCUAUCUGUUCACACCAAUGUGGUAAAAGCUUUAUGUUGUAUUUAAUUUAUUCAUUUUGAAAAUAUUUAAAAU